GAUGACACUUUUAGAGAACUUUCUGGUAUCUCUGAAGUUCAAUUUUUGGGCUUUCUGUUCUCUAGGUUCUAUGUCGAUGUGGCUCAGAGCCAGUAGUGUAGGGUACAGGAGAAACCUUCAUCACCUCAUCUUCUCAGGGCCCUACUGCAAGCCAGCAUCUCCCCUUCUUCCUCUCUGCUUCAAGAUCCAUGGAGUGACAAAACCGGUUUCUUACACGGAGAAGGAGCAGAAAGAACAGAGAAAUCAGAAUGCGAGUGGGACUUGUACUUCAUAAAACAGCCAGAGGAUCCUCCUAUAAAACUGCAUGGGAUUUUUGGCUUUGUCAUCUGGGAAAUUGAGAAUUUGCCUGUGAUGUGAGGAGUGACUGCUGACAUCAGUGGAGAUGGAUGAAUACGUUUUGUAUUACACCAAUAAUUAGAAGGGAUCUCAAAAAUCCCACCAUUUCACCAGUUUCAUACAUAAAUUUUUAAACUUUGGCUAGCAGUGAUGAGUACCAUUUGCUUAGCACUUGACUGCUUCAGAAUGCCUUUCACAACGAUAUCUGUGCUAUUUCUUUUAUAUUUUCAACUUUUAAAAACAUUUUAAUUGAGAUAUAAUUCACAUACCAUAAAAGUCACCAAUUUAAAGUGUACAGUUCCAUGGUUUUUAGUAUAUUUGUGGUGUAACCACAACUACAAUCUAAUUCCAGAACAUUUACAUCACCCCCAAAAGAAAAGCCCUUUCCAUUAACAGUCAUUCCCGAUGCCUGUCCAACCCUCAGCCCUUUCUAGGCAACCGCUAAUCUACUUUCUGUUUCUAUAUAUUUGCCUAUUGUGGACUUUUUAUAUAGAUGGAAUCAUACAGCUGUGGUCUUUUGGGUCUGUCUUUUGCUUAGGAUAAUGUUUUCAAAUUUCAUCCAUAUAGUAGCAUGCAUCAGUCCUUUAUCAUAUUACCCAAUAAUAGUGUGGAUAUAACACAUUUUAUCUAUCCUUUCAUCAGUUGAUAGACAUUUGAGUUGUUUCCACUUUUUUCUUUAAUUUUUAGUUGACACGUAAUAAUUGUACAUAUUUAUGGGAUGCAGAGUAGUAUUUCCAUAUGUGUAUACCAUGUAUAAUAAUUCAGGGGAAUUAGCACAUCCAUCACCUCAAACUUGGAUCAUUUCUUUGUGUUGUGAACAUUAAAAAUCCUCUCUUCUAGCUUUUUGAAAAUGUACAAUAAAUUCUGGUUAACCACAUCCCCCCUGUGAUGCUGCAGAACGCCUGAACUCAUUCCUCUUAUCCAACGGUAAUUCCGUAAUUGUUAAUCAGCAUCUCCCCAUCCUCCCUGCCCCGCCACCCUUCCCCGCCUCUAAUACCCACGAUUGUACUCUACUUUUUCUUAGCUCUCUCAUGCAUGAGAACAUGUGGUAUUUAUCAUUCUGUGCUUCUCUUAUUUUAUUUAACAUCAUGUCCUCUGUGUUGCUGCAAAUGACAGAAUUACAUUUUUUUUGUGGCUGAACAGUAUUCCAUUGUGUAUAUAUAUCACAUUUUCUAUUUAACUUUUAUUUUAGGUUUGAUGGUACAUGUGAAGGUUUGUAAUGUAAAUAAGCUUGUGUCAUGGGGGUUUGUUGUACAGAUUAUUUUAUCACCCAGCUACAAAGGCUAGUACCCAAUAGUUAUUUUUUCUGCCCCUCUCCUUCCUCCCAUCCUCCACCCUCAAGUAGGUCCCAGUGUCUGUUGUUUCCUUCUUUGUGUCCAUGAGUUCUCAUUAUUCAGCAACUACUUACAAGUGAGAACAUGCGGUAUUUGGUUUUCUGUUCCUGCAUUAGUUGAUAAGGAUAAUGGCUUCCAGCUCCAUCCAGGUUCCCACAAAAGACAUUAUCUCAUUUUUUUAUGAUUGCAUAAUAUUCCAUGGUGUAUAUGUACCACAGUCUUUAAAUCCAAUCUGUCAUUGAUGAGCAUUUAGGUUGAUUCCAUGUCUUCACUAUUGUGAAUAGAGCUGCAAUGAACAUACAAGUGCAUGCGUCUUUAUGGUUGAAUGACUUAUAUUCCUCUGGGUAUAUACCCAGUAAUGGGAUUGCUGGGUUGAAAGGUAGUUCUGUUUUCAGCUCUUUGAGGAAUUGCUACAUUGCUUUCCACGAUGACUGAACUAAUUUACACUCCCCCCAACAGUGUUCUUUUGGGUUCUUUUUUCUCCACAACCUGGCCAGCAUCUGUUAUUUUUGGACUAUUUAUUUACUUAUUCAUUUUUGAGACAGAGUUUUAUUCUUGUUUCUCAGGAUGGAGUGCAUUGGCGCAGUCUUGGCU
rnacentral:lncRNA from 10 species